rnacentral:rRNA from 1 species
UACGUAGGGGGCAAGCGUUGUCCGGAAUUAUUGGGCGUAAAGGGCGUGUAGGCGGUAUCGUAAGUCAGAUGUGAAAGUUUGAGGCUUAACCUCAAAAUUGCAUUUGAAACUGCAAUACUUGAGUACUGGAGAGGUAAGUGGAAUUCCUAGUGUAGCGGUGAAAUGCGUAGAUAUUAGGAGGAACACCAGUGGCGAAGGCGACUUACUGGACAGUUACUGACGCUGAGGCGCGAAAGCGUGGGGAGCAAACAGG